rnacentral:rRNA from 1 species
GUUAAGCGACUAAGCGUACACGGUGGAUGCCCUGGCAGUCAGAGGCGAUGAAGGGCGUGCUAAUCUGCGAUAAGCGCCGGUAAGGUGAUAUGAACCGUUAUAACCGGCGAUACCCGAAUGGGGAAACCCAGUGUGAUUCGUCACACUAUCAUUAACUGAAUCCAUAGGUUAAUGAGGCGAACCGGGGGAACUGAAACAUCUAAGUACCCCGAGGAAAAGAAAUCAACCGAGAUUCCCCCAGUAGCGGCGAGCGAACGGGGAGGAGCCCAGAGCCUGAAUCAGCAUGUGUGUUAGUGGAAGCGUCUGGAAAGGCGCGCGAUACAGGGUGACAGCCCCGUACACAAAAGCGCAUGUGCUGUGAGCUCGAUGAGUAGGGCGGGACACGUGGUAUCCUGUCUGAAUAUGGGGGGACCAUCCUCCAAGGCUAAAUACUCCUGACUGACCGAUAGUGAACCAGUACCGUGAGGGAAAGGCGAAAAGAACCCCGGCGAGGGGAGUGAAAAAGAACCUGAAACCGUGUACGUACAAGCAGUGGGAGCACAGGUUUACCUGUGUGACU